rnacentral:rRNA from 1 species
AUUGAACGCUGGCGGCAUGCCUUACACAUGCAAGUCGAACGGCAGCACGGGAGCAAUCCUGGUGGCGAGUGGCGAACGGGUGAGUAAAGUAUCGGAACGUACCUUUCAGUGGGGGAUAACGUAGCGAAAGUUACGCUAAUACCGCAUAUUCUGUGAGCAGGAAAGCAGGGGAUCGCAAGACCUUGCGCUGAUGGAGCGGCCGAUAUCAGAUUAGCUAGUUGGUGAGGUAAAGGCUCACCAAGGCGACGAUCUGUAGCGGGUCUGAGAGGAUGAUCCGCCACACUGGGACUGAGACACGGCCCAGACUCCUACGGGAGGCAGCAGUGGGGAAUUUUGGACAAUGGGGGCAACCCUGAUCCAGCCAUGCCGCGUGAGUGAAGAAGGCCUUCGGUUGUAACUGCUUUGUACGGAACGAAAGGUACCUGUUAAUACCUGGGCUCAUGACGGUACCGU